rnacentral:rRNA from 1 species
UACCAGCACCCCGAGUGGUCGGGACGUUUAUUGGGCGUAAAGAGCUCGUAGGCGGCUUGUCACGUCGAUUGUGAAAGCCCGAGGCUUAACCUCGGGUCUGCAGUCGAUACGGGCUAGCUAGAGUGUGGUAGGGGAGAUCGGAAUUCCUGGUGUAGCGGUGAAAUGCGCAGAUAUCAGGAGGAACACCGGUGGCGAAGGCGGAUCUCUGGGCCAUUACUGACGCUGAGGAGCGAAAGCGUGGGGAGCGAACAGG